UUUUGUCUGGUUUUGUUUGGAAGUUGUUGGUGUAACCAUUGCCCCCGUCCUUUUCUCUCAACACGCUCCUUCAGACGUAGCAAAACUCUGUUCUGAAUGAGACUGCAGGAGUGCACAAGAGCUGGGAUAAUUUUAGGAUGAUCUUAAAAUGCUCAGAAGGAUUUCCAUCUUAAGGGGUGAAUGGAGAGGAAGUUGGCUUUAGCUCUUGUGUGAGAUUUUGCACCUUCAUUCCCAGCUUAAUUAAAAUGUAAGUACCCUGGACCUAGGGGACCAGCACAGGAACUGAACAGACAUCUCCAAGAUGAAUCUUACAUAGCUGGCAAGCAAUGUUCAUAUGGAAUUAUGCUUUCAACUUUCUAAGAUCAUCCAGAAAAACCCAGGUACUGCUGCUGGAAGAGUUUUUGGAGAAGAGUUCUAGUUGUGGAACACAGAAAUGGUGAUGGAAACAGCAGGGGGCCACUGAAGUUGCUGAGAUAGCUGCACUAUC
rnacentral:lncRNA from 1 species